rnacentral:rRNA from 1 species
UUCCGCUUGAUCCUGCCGGACCCGACUGCUAUCAGAGUGGGACUAAGCCAUGCGAGUCAGCGUAGAAAUACGUGGCGAACGGCUCAGUAACACGUAGUCAACAUGCCCAGAGGACGUGGAUAACCUCGGGAAACUGAGGAUAAACCAUGAUAGGCCAUGAUUUCUGGAAUGGUUUAUGGCUGAAAUCUAUAUGGCCUCUGGAUUGGACUGCGGCCGAUCAGGCUGUUGGUGAGGCAAUGGCCCACCAAACCUGUAACCGGUACGGGCUCUGAGAGGAGGAGCCCGGAGAUGGGCACUGAGACAAGGGCCCAGGCCCUAUGGGGCGCAGCAGGCGCGAAAUCUCUGCAAUAGGCGAAAGCUUGACAGGGUUACUCUGAGUGAUUCCCGCUAAGGGGAUCUUUUGGCACCUCUAAAAAUGGUGCAGAAUAAGGGGUGGGCAAGUCUGGUGUCAGCCGCCGCGGUAAUACCAGCACCCCGAGUGGUCGGGACGAUUAUUGGGCCUAAAGCAUCCGUAGCCGGUACUGCAAGUCUUCCGUUAAAUCCACCUGCUCAACAGUUGGGCUGCGGAGGAUACUACAGCGCUAGGAGGCGGGAGAGGCAAGCGGUACUCAGUGGGUAGGGGUAAAAUCCACUGAUCCAUUGAAGACCACCAGUGGCGAAGGCGGCUUGCCAGAACGCGCUCGACGGUGAGGGAUGAAAGCUGGGGGAGCAAACCGGAUUAGAUACCCGGGUAGUCCCAGCUGUAAACGAUGCAGACUCGGUGAUGGGCUGGCCUUGUGCCAACCCAGUGCCGCAGGAAAGCCGUUAAGUCUGCCGCCUGGGGAGUACGG